CUGAUGUUUUGAUUUUGAAAUGUGAGGGUGUUCAAGUAUUGGUAGAGAAGAAUUGAUUGGUAGACCCAAUAAUGCGGAUUGUACAAAAUUAGUUUUAGUUCCACAGAUGAUGGAGAUUUUUGACCAUAAAUGGAGCUAAAUGUAGCAAAAUGAUGGGGAUUUUAUGUGAUGUUGAAUGAAGUUGGGUUUUUGAAAAAAUUGAAUUUGG
rnacentral:misc_RNA from 1 species